AAGAGACACAGAAAAAAGAAACCCGGAAGCCCGACGCAAUGUCGAAACAGAGCCAUCGUCACUUGACGGAUCUCGGCUGCAUCGCCUACGAAGACUUGUCCGAGUUCGGCGCUGCCCCCAACGCCAGCACCUCUCUCCUCUGUGCUCUCGAUGCUCAUUGUCUCGCCAUCGCUAACCGAUCUCUUAUCCUCAUCGCCAACGCCAGCACCACUUUCCUUUUAUCUUGGUUUACUCUUUGCGUGGUGAUUUGAUUCAUAGACAGAUGGUAUAUCCAAGACACGUUGUAAACUUAAGAGUCUGUGGAAGUAAGAAAGAUAUGACACAAGAUUUAUCCUCAGAGGAGGUUUGUGUUGUCAUACCUGGCGUGAUUGCACGUUUUGAUGUGUCUGAUAUUCAGUCAAGUCAACGUUACUAAUGUGCAGUCACCAUUGGAGAUGAUGCUUUGAUCUCAGCUUUCAGACUCUCAGAAGAUAGGAACCGUUCCUUGGUAGGAGCUAUUUUGUCAAAAGUUGUGUCUGCAACAUGUUCCACAAGUGGUUCUUUCUCUAAAAUGAUAUGGCAGAGUGAACAAACGUCAAACAGGAAGUCAGAAGAGAAGCCUCAAUCAUUUGCCCGAGAUGAAGUCAUUUGUUCAACAUUUAUCGUCACAAUGAUAACGAUGCAUUACUAUUUAGUAGUGAGUCCAUAUCAUCUAAUCAUCCUUGCUUAUGGGGUGCAUAGGCGCUACAUACAAGUGGACUGUUACACUAAAGAUAGUUGGGAUUGAAUUAUUAUAGAAUUGUAGUGAAAAUAAUAGUGGGCAUGAAUUGACUUAUUACUCUAAUUGUGUGAACGGAUUGACAGAUUAUCCUAAACUAUGUUCACUCCAUAAGCAAACAUCUUAAUUUAAUCCUUUCAUACGUGGAUUCAAUGUAACUAAUUUUUCCUCUAUUCAGGAUAUACAUUUGACAGAUUUUCGGCUUUGCUGUUGUAGACUAAGUUGUGUUGUUGGAGAGUGAAAACUAUAGUACUUCUCUAGAUGGUUUUCAUUGUGCAGCUCUUAGAACUUCAUUUAGUAGAGCUCACAUUUAGCCAAAAAAAAAAACCUGUAAUUUUUACUGUUUUGUACUUGAUAUGGAAGUUAUACAUCCAUUUUUUAA
rnacentral:sRNA from 10 species